UACGUAGGGCGCAAGCGUUAUCCGGAAUUAUUGGGCGUAAAGAGCUCGUAGGCGGUUUGUCGCGUCUGCCGUGAAAGUCCGGGGCUCAACUCCGGAUCUGCGGUGGGUACGGGCAGACUAGAGUUCGGUAGGGGAGACUGGAAUUCCUGGUGUAGCGGUGAAAUGCGCAGAUAUCAGGAGGAACACCGGUGGCGAAGGCGGGUCUCUGGGCCGAAACUGACGCUGAGGAGCGAAAGCGUGGGGAGCAAACAGG
rnacentral:rRNA from 1 species